rnacentral:rRNA from 1 species
UACGUAGGGUGCAAGCGUUAAUCGGAAUACUGGGCGUAAAGCGUGCGCAGGCGGUGAUGUAAGACAGAUGUGAAAUCCCCGGGCUUAACCUGGGAACUGCAUUGGUGACUGCAGCGCUGGAGUAUGGCAGAGGGGGGUGGAAUUCCACGUGUAGCAGUGAAAUGCGUAGAGAUCUGGAGGAACACCGGUGGCGAAGGCGGCAUCCUGGACCAACACUGACGCUGAGGAGCGAAAGCCAGGGGAGCAAACGGGG